UAAUAUAUCUCUGUGCUAUUGGGAAUAUACAGAAUAUCAGAUUCUCACUUCCUUUAAUUAUAAACACAGACAUUUAUCAAUGUAAAACCUGAACAGAUAACAGAAUGAUGUUCUUUACUGCUGCCUCGUCUAUAUACUGGUUACGACAGCAUGUGACAUGUCGCAAUAGAUUAGAGAAGAUGCGUGAUCUCCUUCUGUUUUUCUCUCUUUAAUAAAAAUGUACAUUAACCCUGUUGCAUAAGUUUACACACCCUUUUCAAAUUGCUAAUGUGGCAGUGUUCAGAAUCGACCAAUCACGUUCAAACUUUUGUUAAAUACCAACUAGAAGAUACCUGCUGUCAAUUAAAGUGACUGAUGGACACCAAAUAAAGUACAGCUGGUCCUGUAGGAUUGUUCAUUUUAGUAACUGGAAAAGCCAUGGGGCUGCAAAGAGCUGACAAAGCAGGUACAGGAUCUCAUUGUUGAGAAGUAUCAAUUAGGAGAGGGUUACAAACAAAUUUCAAGACAUAGAAUAUACCAUGGAACACUGGAAAGACAAUUGUUACGUUCUAUACUUGUGGGUUCGGUGUUUUGUUUGUUCUUUCUCUGUCUCUCUCUUUGCUCCACUAUCUACCUUUUCAGAUCCCUACCAUUGGACAUCUCCUGUCAAUCUUCAUUAUCCUGUGUGACAUCACCCAUCGAUCCACCAAUCAACCAGAAACAGAAUCACGAUUAGAAUCAAAAACAGAAACAGAAGGAGAAAGAAGAAGUGUGCUAAAUUUGUUAGAGAGCUAUGUUGUUGUUCAUUCGGUUUUAGUAUGUCAGACUGUUCAUGUAUCCCAACUUGUUAGUCACUUUGUGUAUGUGACUCGUUUUUCAUUUUGUGUAUGUGACUCGUUAGUCACUUUGUGUAUGUGACUCGUUAGUCACUUUGUGUAUGUGACUCGUUAGUCACUUUGUGUAUGUGACUCGUUAAUCACUCGUUCUGCAUCUGUAUGCUUGUGUUUAUUCUCUUUGUGGAUGUGAAUUUGUUUAUAUUGGGGAAAACUGGACAGAUAUCGUGAAUGUUAUCACCUUUGUCAGCACCACUUGUAUGAUAAUAGACACAGAUUUUGCCCACUAUUUGUUGUCCUUGUCGUUGAUUGCCACAUACACAGCAGAAAUCUGACUUUAUAAUCAUUCCAUAUUGUUACCUUCCCAACCAUACCCCUAAACACCAUUUGGGAUCGUAACAACAAUAAUCAACAAACUCUAAAGCCUUUGAAAUUAUUCAGAAGUCCAUCAUAAAUCUGGUCAGGGAGGCUGUCAAGAUGCCCAAUAUAAGAUUCUUCAUAUGUCUGAACUACAGGUUAGAGUGAUAAGAUGGAAAUCAGUUUUAUUUUAAAAAAAAAUGUCCAAGGCUGGCUAAAGAUAUCAACAAAAUAUAUCCAAUCUCCCAAAACUAUGUGGAAUAAUGUUUUAUGGUCUGAUGAGACUAAAGUUAAACCUUUUGGCCAUAAAAGCAAAGGAAAUGUUCGGCACAAAGAAACCACAUCAACAGAAGAUCUCCAUCCCCACAGUGAAGCAUGGAGGUGGCAGCAUCAUAGUUUGGGGCUGCUUUUCUUCAGCUGGAACUGGGGCUUUAAUCAGACUGGAGGUAAUAAUGAAUAGCUCCAAAUACCACUCAGAUUUGGUGCAAAACCUUAGGGCUUCUGUUAAAACACCUAAGAUGAAGAGGAAUUUCACCUUUCAGCAGGACAAUGACCUGAAGCACACCCACAAAUCAACAAAGGAAUGUCUCCACCAAAACAAGUCCAGAUCCAAAUCCAAUCAAAAAUCUGUGGGGUGACCUGAAGAGGGCUGUGCACAGGAGAUCUAAAAUCUAAAGGUGCUUCAAAUAAGUAUAAAUUUAGGGGUGUGUCAGCUUAUACAACAAGGUUAUUGUACAUUUUUAUUUUUUUUACCCUAAACUAACUUUAAUAAACAAGUUGCAAUUUCACUAUAAAAAUGGAAAAGUUUCUGAUAUGAUUUUUCUUGUUUUCAUUUAUUACACAAAAACCCUGCAAUUUCAACGAGGUGUGUAAACUUUUUAUAUCUAUUACUUAUUUUUUUCUUUCUAUUUGAUUCCUGGAUUAAAAUGUAAUAUAUGUGAUAAGUUUAUAAAAUAUCAGCUUUUACUAUUA